rnacentral:pre_miRNA from 1 species
GUCUUUGGUUAUCUAGCUGUAUGAGUGAUAAUUAACGUCAUAAAGCUAGCUUACCGAAGUU